ACGCUUUGAAAAAAUACCAUACGAACCUUCGUCUAGGUACUACUAAGGUAUCUAACCAUCACAGCUCAAGUCAUCUCUCAAACCUGAGCACUUAGGUUCGGCUACUAUACAGGCUCGAUAUGAAAUUUCACAGAAAAACUUUCAUAUCCAACUUUUUAGAGUUUCAUCUUAAACUAACUAAGGCGACUUUUAAAUUAUAUCAACACUUCAUUCAUAACGUAUAUGAACAAAGUAAUCAUAUUACAACUACUCAAGUUUAAUAUGAUUAUCUAGUCUCAUUCUGCUCACCAUCUAGAUGCCAGGGCGAUCACCCGUGUGAGUGGCUGAUCUGAGCCUGGUGACUUAUCGCACAUGUGCCUACUA
rnacentral:lncRNA from 1 species